GAAAUAAAAAUUCAAACUGGAUUUAAUCUGAUGAGCCUUCUCAACACACACACACACACACACACACGCACACACACACACGCACGCACACACACGCACGCGAGCGCUUCCCAAGGUCACAAGUUCCUUUGGUUGGCCAAGGGCAUGAUGGGAAGUCAGGAGGCUCCCGAACAUGGAGAAGGAGAGCCUUGAAAGCGCCUAGGGAUGCAGGAGAAUCCUGUCCCACUCUCUUAGGAAUCUUCCAGAUUGUUCUCAUCUGCUUGGUUCUCUUUCUUCACAGACUGCUCCCUGACCAUAGCGAGUACGUGGUCUGGAAAACAAUGCUGUUGGUUUCUUAGAUUCUUGCAAGGAUCACAGCUGAAAAGACAACACAGAAGGGCAGGAUUCUGGAAGCUCUGGCGUUUUAAAGAUAAAUGGUAAAACUGAACUGGAAAUCCAUCUGGCCGGCUGCCUGCUCUAAUGAAUAACCCCACUUUGGCUCGUGCAAUAGCCGAUGUCAAAAUUUGUGGAACUGUGAAAGAAGUUAAUGCAAGUGAAGCGUUAAGACGUGUUCUCCAUGUAAACUGGCCUUCUGGGGACAUGCUGCUGAUGUCCCUGUGCUCCAUCAGGCACCACGAAUGCGCCGCUCUGGUGGAAGUUAUUGGUAGUGCAGGUGGCUGUACCUGUGUGGGGACCAGAAGCAUAUGGGAAACCUCUACACUUCCUAAUCAGUUCUGCCCUGAACCUAAAACUACUCGAGUAAGUAAAGUCUUUUUGGGUUUUUGUUUUUUUUUUUUUGGUACCAGGAAUCGAACUCGGGACCUUGCGCUUGCGAGGCAGGCGCCAGAACCACUGAGCUAA
rnacentral:lncRNA from 1 species